CGGAUUAACUCAUAUGUACAGAAUAUUGCUUUAAAUUUCGAAUCUACAAUGGCGGGAUGACCUUCAACAGUCGAGAUUGUGGUAUAUGCGCAAAAUGAGUGAUUCACACCUGUGGACACACUUGCAGGCCACUGGAUGCUGACUACUGAAGGUUAGGUUGUGUGUGACGGUGCUCAGCACAGCUUCAUGUCUGGCCUUCCCACUCUGUUCAUAGCAUGUUACAUAUUCAAUCUUGAGUACCAGGAUGGGGCAGCGUGUAUCUUGGAGUCCAAUGAAAGAUAUUAAUCCAGAGAGUGGAACAAGAAGAAGCCUCAUCUAAAAUGCCAGGAUACAGAAGAAACAGUUGCAGUGAACCCACAUGUUGCCGCUCUUCUAAACACAAUGAUGAAUUUUCAGUAGAAGCACACACACACACAGAUCUCAUCAUUGAAUUACAUCAUUUUAAUAUUCACUGUCUCUGACUGUAUAUGUUGUCCUCUGUUUUUCCUCUGACUAUAAAUAUCUAACAUUAUUCUCUCUCUCUUUCUUUUCCAUAGUUCUAGCUACUUGUUGUGCUCUGAUGGAUCAAGAUGUGGACCGUUUUACAGACUCACUUGGGCCUUGUUUUGCGAUGUUGUUACAUGAUGGUUAUGUUGGUUAACGUGU